AGAGGGGGAUAACCCGGCGAAAGUCGGACUAAUACCGCAUGAAGCAGGGGCCCCGCAUGGGGAUAUUUGCUAAAGAUUCAUCGCUGAUAGAUAGGCAUGCGUUCCAUUAGGCAGUUGGCGGGGUAACGGCCCACCAAGCCGACGAUGGAUAGGGGUUCUGAGAGGAAGGUCCCCCACAUUGGUACUGAGACACGGACCAAACUCCUACGGGAGGCAGCAGUGAGGAAUAUUGGUCAAUGGCCGAGAGGCUGAACCAGCCAAGUCGCGUGAGGGAUGAAGGUUCUAUGGAUCGUAAACCUCUUUUAUAAGGGAAUAAAGUGCGGGACGUGUCCCGUUUUGUAUGUACCUUAUGAAUAAGGAUCGGCUAACUCCGUGCCAGCAGCCGCGGUAAUACGGAGGAUCCGAGCGUUAUCCGGAUUUAUUGGGUUUAAAGGGUGCGUAGGCGGCCUUUUAAGUCAGCGGUGAAAGUCUGUGGCUCAACCAUAGAAUUGCCGUUGAAACUGGGGGGCUUGAGUAUGUUUGAGGCAGGCGGAAUGCGUGGUGUAGCGGUGAAAUGCAUAGAUAUCACGCAGAACCCCGAUUGCGAAGGCAGCCUGCCAAGCCAUGACUGACGCUGAUGCACGAAAGCGUGGGGAUCAAACAGGAUUAGAUACCCUGGUAGUCCACGCAGUAAACGA
rnacentral:rRNA from 1 species